rnacentral:rRNA from 1 species
ACUACGGGUGGCAGCAGUGGGGAAUAUUGCACAAUGGGGGAAACCCUGAUGCAGCAACGCCGCGUGAGUGAGGAAGUAUUUCGGUAUGUAAAGCCCUAUCAGCAGGGAAAAGAAAAGAAGGUACCUGAAAAAGAAGCCCCGGCUAACUACGUGCCAGCAGCCGCGGUAAUAGGUAGGGGGCACGCGUUAGCCGGAUUUACGGGGGGUAAAGGGAGCGUAGAGGGAAAGGCAAGGCAGAGGUGAAAACCCAAGGCUCAACCAUGGGACUGAUUUUGAAACUGGCAAACUAGAGUACGGGAGAGGUAAGAGGAAUUCCUAGUGUAGCGGUGAAAUGCGUAGAUAUUAGGAGGAACACCAGUGGCGAAGGCGUCUUACUGGACCGAAACUGACGUUGAGGCUCGAAAGCGUGGGGAGCAAACAGGAUUAGAUACCCUUGUAGUC